UUUGAGUGUAUAAAUUAGCUGUAAUAUACUAGGGCCAAUCACCAUUUCUCUUAACAGCAUCAGAGAGAAAGAGCUGAGAGAAGAGUCUGAGGAUAUUCCUAAAGAUGAAAGUUCUUCUACUGAUCACAGCCAUCUUGGCAAUAACUGCUGGUUUCCAAGUCCCUCAAGACCAAGACCAAGAACGAGAAAAACGAAGUCUGAGUGACAGCAAUGAAUUACCACAGUUUUUUGACCCUCCUUAUCGAUUCCCAUUUGACUCAUGUCUACGAAUCUGUCAAAGAUAUCCAUGGUUUAGAUACCCUUAUCCUUUUCCAAUUCCUGUGUCUGCACCUACACCUCUCUCUCGUAAUGAAAAGUAAAUAAGAAAGAAAGGUCAUAGUGCAACUUACCAUGAAAUAAGUGGAAGAAGAAUCAGAUCACUAGCAGUAAGGAUGACUGCCCUCCAUGCCCCCAUCUGUUAACCUAGCUGCCACACUGCCACUAGAGUUACCUUUCAAAAGAUAACACACGUGUUUCUGACGUGCCCACAUACUUAAGAAGCCUUCUAAUUACUUACGCUGUAAAAUCCAUAUUCUUCCACCUGGCAUUCAAGGUCUUCCACAUACUAACCUUGAGCUUCUUUUCUAAUUACUCAGCACUACCUAGCCUCCCUGUAUCCUAGCUGUGUUUCACCAAGUGUUAGAUUCCUCAUAACUGGCCUCCACGCUUACAGCAGUGCCUUUGCCUAUGUUGCUUCCUCUUAAUAAAAUGACCAUUCCUCUCUUUCACUGUUAAAAAUCCAAAUUACCUUUCAUGGCUCGAAACAAAUAGUAUGACCUUCAUGAAAAACUUUUUGUGACUUCUCAAAAUA